rnacentral:rRNA from 1 species
UACGGAGGGGGCCAGCGUUGUUCGGAAUUAUUGGGCGUAAAGGGCGCGUAGGCGGCUUGGUAAGUCCGUUGUGAAAUCCCUCGGCUCAACCGAGGAACUGCACGGGAUACUGGAUGACUUGAGUUCGGGAGAGGGAAGCGGAAUUCCGGGUGUAGCGGUGAAAUGCGUAGAUAUCCGGAGGAACACCGGUGGCGAAGGCGGCUUCCUGGACCGAUCACUGACGCUGAGGCGCGAAAGCUAGGGGAGCAAACGGG